CUUGGGGAAGAAUGUCCUUAACAGGAAAUGGUUAAGGAGGAGUCGGUACCUGAGGAGGAAGCCCUGGCUAACUACGUGCCAGCAGCCGCGGUAACACGUAGAGGGCAAGCGUUGUCCGGAAUUACUGGGCGUAAAGGGUACGCAGGUGGGAGGAAAAGUCAAGUGUGAAAGGUAUCGGCUUAACCGAUACACAGCAAUUGAAACUAUCCUUCUUGAGGGCAGGAGAGGAGAGCGGAAUUCCUGGUGUAGCGGUGGAAUGCGUAGAUAUCAGGAAGAACACCGGUGGCGAAGGCGGCUCUCUGGCCUGCAACUGACGCUGAGGUACGAAAGCUGGGGGAGCAAACGGGAUUAGAUACCCCGGUAGUCCCAGCUGUAAACGAUGGACACUAGGUGUUGGUGGUUCGAAUCCAUCAGUGCCGGAGUUAACGCGAUAAGUGACCCGCUGGGGAG
rnacentral:rRNA from 1 species